rnacentral:misc_RNA from 1 species
GUUCUAUACAAGGGGGUGGCAAUGAUGGCGACGAUGCGGGGAUUGCUCCGAUCCCCGCGGGGAGGAGGGCAGCGGCGAAGGGGCGGGUGAGGGGCGAAGGGAAGGCGAGAUGCAGGGUGACGAGCGCAUCGGCGAGGACGAACGCCCAGGUCAUCAUCUUGGUGCAGAACGUGACAUGACGGAUCGCACGCUCAAAUAGCGUCCUGUUGUCG